GGCUUGUCCAAAGGUAGUGAGUUAUCUCAGUAGAUUGUUUACAGUCAGUUACAGAUGGAACUUCUUGAUCUAUUCUUUCCCGCUUCUCACUAUUUAACUUGAAUAGUCUUAA
ensembl:misc_RNA Y_RNA Y RNA